UGGGAACUUUAAGGAUACUGCCAGUGACAAACUGGAGGAAGGCGGGGACGACGUCAAGUCAUCAUGGCCCUUACGGCCAGGGCUACACACGUGCUACAAUGGUCGGUACAAAGGGUUGCUACACAGCGAUGUGAUGCUAAUCUCAAAAAGCCGAUCGUAGUCCGGAUUGGAGUCUGCAACUCGACUCCAUGAAGUCGGAAUCGCUAGUAAUCGCGGAUCAGAAUGCCGCGGUGAAUACGUUCCCGGGCCUUGUACACACCGCCCGUCACACCAUGGGAGUUUGUUGCACCAGAAGUAGCUAGCCUAACUGCAAAGAGGGCGGUUACCACGGUGUGGCCGAUGACUGGGGUGAAGUCGUAACAAGGUAGCCGUAGGGGAACCUGCGGCUGGAUCACCUCCUUA
rnacentral:rRNA from 1 species